rnacentral:rRNA from 1 species
AGUCGAGCGAACAGAUGAGAAGCUUGCUUCUCUGAUGUUAGCGGCGGACGGGUGAGUAACACGUGGGUAACCUACCUACAAGACUGGGAUAACUCCGGGAAACCGGGGCUAAUACCGGAUAAUAUUUUGAACCGCAUGGUUCAAUAGUGAAAGACGGUUUCGGCUGUCACUUAUAGAUGGACUCGCGCCGUAUUAGCUAGUUGGUAAGGUAACGGCUUACCAAGGCGACGAUACGUAGCCGACCUGAGAGGGUGAUCGGCCACACUGGAACUGAGACACGGUCCAGACUCCUACGGGAGGCAGCAGUAGGGAAUCUUCCGCAAUGGGCGAAAGCCUGACGGAGCAACGCCGCGUGAGUGAUGAAGGUCUUCGGAUCGUAAAACUCUGUUGUUAGGGAAGAACAAAUUUGUUAGUAACUGAACAAGUCUUGACGGUACCUAACCAGAAAGCCACGGCUAACUACGUGCCAGCAGCCGCGGUAAUACGUAGGUGGCAAGCGUUAUCCGGAAUUAUUGGGCGUAAAGCGCGCGUAGGCGGUUUCUUAAGUCUGAUGUGAAAGCCCACGG